rnacentral:rRNA from 1 species
CGGCCAGCGGCCAUGGCAGGGGAGGCACACCCGGUCCCAUCCCGAACCCGGAAGUUAAGCCCCCGAGCGCCGAUUGUACUGCGGGUAGAGCCCGUGGGAGACCAGGACGCCGCUGGCCGA